UUUAUCCUAAUACGAAUUCAUGUAAUGAAGUUGAUCUAAAUAAUUCUUCAGACAAUGGUAAAAAUCCUUCUGAGAAGGAGGUAACAGGUGAUACUUUAAAACGUCGGCCGAAAGUUCGUCAGAUUUGUCAUCGAGUGAUCAUGAUUUC